GGGGCGAGCGUUGUCCGAAUUUACUGGGCGUAAAGAGCACGUAGGCGUCUGCUUAAGUGGGGGGUGAAAUCCCGCAGCUCAACUGCGGAAUUGCCUUCCAAACUGGGCGGAUCGAGAGAGGGAGAGGAGAGUGGAAUUCCUGGUGUAGCGGUGAAAUGCGUAGAGAUCAGGAGGAACACCCGUGGCGAAGGCGGCUCUCUGGCCCUUUUCUGACGCUGAGGUGCGAAAGCGUGGGGAGCGGACGGGAUUAGAUACCCCGGUAGUCCACGCCGUAAACGAUGGAUACUAGGUGUUAGAGGUAUCGACCCCUCUAGCGCCGGAGCUAACGCAUUAAGUAUCCCGCCUGGGGAGUACGACCGCAAGGUUGAAACUCAAAGGAAUUGACGGGUCCCCGCACAAGCGGUGGAGCGUGUGGUUUAAUUCGAUACUAAGCGAAGAACCUCACCCAGGCUUGACAUCCCGGGAAUCCCCCUGAAAGGGGGGAGUGCCCUUCGGGGAACCCGGUGACAGGUGUUGCAUGGCUGUCGUCAGCUCGUGUCGUGAGAUGUUGGGUUAAGUCCCGCAACGAGCGCAACCCUCAUCCUUAGUUGCCAGCGUAAAGUCGGGAACUCUAAGGGAACUGCCCGCGUGGAGUGGGAGGAAGGUGGGGAUGACGUCAAGUCGGCAUGGCCCUUACGCCUGGGGCUACACACACGCUACAAUGGUCGGUACAGAGGGCUGCGAAGGGGCGACCCGGAGCCAAUCCCACAAAGCCGGCCUCAGUUCAGAUCGCAGUCUGCAAUUCGACUGCGUGAAGGCGGAAUCGCUAGUAACCGCAGGUCAGCACACCGCGGUGAAUACGUUCCCGGGGAUUGUACACACCGCCCGUCACGUCA
rnacentral:rRNA from 1 species